GCCCCGGUAGCUAAGCUCGGUCAUAGCAGCGGCCUCGUAAGCCGCAGGCCGCGGGUUCAAAUCCCGCCCGGGGCUCCA
rnacentral:tRNA from 1 species